rnacentral:rRNA from 1 species
AGCAGCCGCGGUAAUUCCAGCUCCAAUAGCGUAUAUUAAAGUUGUUGCAGUUAAAAAGCUCGUAGUUGAAUUUCGGGAUCAAUACGUCGGUCGUGCCUUCGGUACGUACUGGCGUCAUUGGUUUCUCCCUUCUGACGAACCAUGAUGUCAUUAAUUUGGUGUUAUGGGAAGUUAGGACUGUUACUUUGAAAAAAUUAGAGUGUUUAAAGCAGGCAUUAGCUUGAAUACAUUAGCAUGGAAUAAUGAAAUAGGACGUUCGAACCUAUUUUGUUGGUUUCUAGGAUCAACGUAAUGAUUAAUAGGGAUAGUUGGGGGCAUUAGUAUUCAAUUGUCAGAGGUGAAAUUCUUGGAUUUAUUGAAGACUAACUACUGCGAAAGCAUUUGCCAAGGAUGUUUUCAUUAAUCAAGAACGAAAGUUAGGGGAUCGAAGACGAUCAGAUACCGUCGUAGUCUUAACCAUAAACUAUGCCGACUAGGGAUCGGAUGAUGUUAAUUUUUUAAUGACUCA